rnacentral:misc_RNA from 1 species
CGGUUCGAGUCCGCUUACCUCCACUGAUCCACUGCCUAAUAACUCUUUAAUAUGAAGAUUGUUUUUAUGUGUGAUUUAGGUGUUGUUCGCUGAAUGAACCUAGCUCCAUAUCAUCCUUUGAAAAUUCAAAAUUAUGGUUGAUAAGACGCUGGGCUCACUGUUUUUCUGAAAUGAAUUACAGGAAAGUUCAGUA